AGAGUUUGAUCCUGGCUCAGGAUGAACGCUAGCGGUGCGCCUAACACAUGCAAGUCGAGCGAUAUAGCGGCGAACGGGUGAGUAACACGUUGGAACCUGCCCCAGACUCAGGGAUAACACCGAGAAAUCGGUGCUAAUACCGGAUAGUCCCCCGUAUCUCAUUGCAUUCGAUACGUACACCUAACACCUAACACCUAACACCUGACAAAAAAGUCAGAUGUCAAAUGUCAGAUGUCAGAUGUACCGCAAUCGAGUGUAGCGAGAUGCGGUGGGUAAAGAUUUAUCGGUCUGGGAGGGGCCUGCGCAGUAUCAGCUUGUUGGUAGGGUAAUAGCCUACCAAGGCUACGACGCUUAACUGGUCUGAGAGGAUGAUCAGUCACAAUGGAACUGAGACACGGUCCAUACUCCUACGGGAGGCAGCAGUGGGGAAUCUUCCGCAAUGGGCGAAAGCCUGACGGAGCGACACCGCGUGAAGGAUGAAGGUCUUUUGAUUGUAAACUUCUUUUCUGGGGGAAUAAAUGAUGAAGGUACCCCAGGAAUAAGCACCGGCUAACUACGUGCCAGCAGCCGCGGUAAUACGUAGGGUGCAAGCGUUAUCCGGAAUUAUUGGGCGUAAAGCGUGCGCAGGCGGUUUAGCAAGUUUGAGAUUAAAUCUGGUCGCUCAACGAUCAAUACGUCUCAAAAACUAUUAAACUAGAGAAUGAUAUGGGCAACUGGAAUUCUGCAUGUAGGGGUAAAAUCCGUUGAUAUGCAGAGGAACACCAAAAGCGAAGGCAGGUUGCUGGGUCAUUUCUGACGCUGUUGCACGAAAGCGUGGGUAGCGAACAGGAUUAGAUACCCUGGUAGUCCACGCCGUAAACGAUGGAUACUCGAUUUAAGAGGGAAUCGACCCCCUCUUGAGUCCAAGCUAACGCGUUAAGUAUCCCGCCUGGGGAGUACGGUCGCAAGAUUAAAACUCAAAGGAAUAGACGGGGACCCACACAAGCGGUGGAGCAUGUGGUUUAAUUCGACACUAAACGGGGAACCUUACCAAGGCUUGACAUCUCCGGAACUUUACAGAAAUGUGAAGGUGCCGCAGGAACCGGAUGACAGGUGCUGCAUGGUCGUCGUCAGCUCGUGCCUUGAGUGUCGGUUAAGUCCGUAACGAGCGCACCCAUGUCCUGUGUGCUUUUCACGGAGACUGCCGGCUCCAGUCGAGGAGGUAGGAUGACGUCAAUCACUGCCCUAUGCCUGGCCAACUGCUCAUGGCAGUACAUGGCGCACCGUAGGGAGGAUCUAUCAACUGUCUCAUCGAUGAGCUCAUCUCUCAGAGUGGAUCCUGUACCAACAAAUGCCGUGAACGUCUGGCUUAUCCGCCGCAUUCUGAAGUGUACGAAUCCUAUCUCGGAGGCUAGUAACUCUGUGGAUAACUACAGGACCAUCACAGAAUCGGGCCGCGGUCAACAU
rnacentral:rRNA from 1 species